GAAAAGAGCAUUCCGACUCAUGGUUGUGUGGAAGCAUACACUCGGUUGUUCAUUGAUGAAAAUUUUUACUUCUAUCCAGUAACAGAUGAUAACCGCAUUAUUCGACGAAGCCUUGUCGACAACGAAGAAGUCGUCCUGCCGGAACUAUUAAAAUGCUUUCGGCAAUAAACAAACAGCGGGAAAAUGAAAGUAGAUCUCUCAAUAAAAGAGAUAAUCGAAGAGCCAUGAAGUCUACGUUGAAUUACAACGACGAGGAACUCUAAAUUUUAUCGUUCAGGAAAGAAGAUCUCUCUGGGAUUUUACUAUUCCACUAGAGCAACGAUGCCAACGGUUGACAAAAAAACUGUGGGAUGAAGUGUCUGAAAUAUUGGGAGGUAAAAUAAAACGUUCAUUCGCGACUGAAAUACUUAAAGAAAAAUUUCUCUUACAGGUAAACUUAGCGGGGAAGAAGCAAAAAAGAAAUUUAAAAAUUUACAUGACGCCUACUGACGAAUAAUUCAUACAGAA